UUUUUUUGAGUUUUGCUCCCAAAUUUUUUGUGGAGGUUUAGUACCCUAUCUUUAGUAAGUUGUCAAGGUUUGGUGCAUUUUGAAGUUUUUUUUCUAUAUUUCUUUAUUUAAUUGCGACUCGUUGCAUUUUUUCCGACGAAUUUGAUUUGAACUGCAGGUGCAUGGAAUAAUAGUGUCCUAUGGUUACAAAACUGCUAUUCUUGCUUGUGUGCGUGGAAUUAGGUCAAAUCCAUGUCCUGGCGCCAAAUCUCGAUGAGCGUGCUCGCAGGGCAACGCUUCCAACUUGCCUGCGCGCGGUUUUUUAAUUAUAAAAAACUCAAAUGACCUCGAAAAUCCACGAAACUUCUCCACCUGCCUUGAUAUGGUAUGGGAAGGCUAUGGUAAAAAUUUGAAAAAAUUUGGAAUAAGUUUGCACG
rnacentral:lncRNA from 1 species